UUAGUUUCCAACUAUGUUACAAAGAGAAUGGGAGAACAUGGCAAGUAGAGAUACAUGGGAAAGUGAGGGUUAUGUUGCCUUAAUAUCAUAAUUUUAGUAACACAUCCUUUUAUUUUCCCCUUGCUUACACCUGCCAUAUUUUAUUGAAUUUUUUUUUUCUGUUCUUUACAAGUUAACAAGAGAGUAGAACAUCUCUACAUCAGGGUAAUCUGUUGGGAUAAAUUGAUAAGAAAAUCAAAGGUCUCUGUUGGUAGAGGGAGGAAUAUGACAAGGUGUAUCUAUGGAGAAUAGGAGCUCGAGUCUGUUGGGCUUAUAAAUGAAGGGAAGAUGCAUUAAAUUGUGACGGCACAAGAAUGAGGAGAAGGUGAGCCAUCAAAAUUGUGAUAGGGAAGGGACAUAUCAAUUAUGCUUGAGUUUAAGUUCUUCAAUUAUGACGGCACAAGAAUGAAGUUUUUUUAUUAGGGAGGCACUCAUUCUCAAUUUCUCACUCUUAACAUAAAUUCUGGUUCCAAAUUUUGUCUGUCUUUCCUCCAAAAUCAAUCAUCUUGAUCCUUAGAUGUAAAAUCAAGACUCUUAUGUCAUGUAUAAUAUGUAAUUUGUUCA